rnacentral:snRNA from 1 species
GUGCCAAAUUUGGCAACAUAUGUACUAAAAUUAGAACAAUACAGAGAAGAUUACCAUGGCCCCUAACCAAGGAAGAUAUUCAAAUUCAUGAAGCGGUUCAUGUUCUU